AACGAACGCUGGCGGCGUGCCUAAUACAUGCAAGUCGAACGUGAACAGGGGCAACCCUUAGUAAAGUGGCGCACGGGUGAGUAACACGUGGGUAAUCUGCCUUAUUGUGGGGAAUAACUUCGGGAAACCGGAGCUAAUGCCGCAUACGUAAGUAAUUAGAAAGGGGGUGUUCGCAAGAAGCUCUCGCAGUAAGAAGAGCCCGCGGAACAUUAGCUAGUUGGUGGGGUAAUGGCCUACCAAGGCAACGAUGUUUAUCCGGUCUGAGAGGAUGAUCGGACACACUGGAACUGAGACACGGUCCAGACUCCUACGGGAGGCAGCAGUGGGGAAUAUUGGACAAUGGGGGAAACCCUGAUCCAGCGACGCCGCGUGGGUGAAGAAGGCCUGCGGGUUGUAAAGCCCUUUCGGUAGGGACGAAAGCUCUCGACCUAACACGUCGGGAGGUUGACUUAACCUACAGAAGAAGCACCGGCUAACUCUGUGCCAGCCGCCGCAGUAAAAC
rnacentral:rRNA from 1 species